GAUGAACGCUGGCGGCGUGCCUAAUACAUGCAAGUCGAGCGAACGGACGAGAAGCUUGCUUCUCUGAUGUUAGCGGCGGACGGGUGAGUAACACGUGGAUAACCUACCUAUAAGACUGGGAUAACUUCGGGAAACCGGAGCUAAUACCGGAUAAUAUUUUGAACCGCAUGGUUCAAAAGUGAAAGACGGUCUUGCUGUCACUUAUAGAUGGAUCCGCGCUGCAUUAGCUAGUUGGUAAGGUAACGGCUUACCAAGGCAACGAUGCAUAGCCGAACUGAGAGGGUGAUAGGCCACACUGGAACUGAGACACGGUCCAGACUCCUACGGGAGGCAGCAGUAGGGAAUCUUCCGCAAUGGGCGAAAGCCUGACGGAGCAACGCCGCGUGAGUGAUGAAGGUCUUCGGAUCGUAAAACUCUGUUAUUAGGGAAGAACAUAUGUGUAAGUAACUGUGCACAUCUUGACGGUACCUAAUCAGAAAGCCACGGCUAACUACGUG
rnacentral:rRNA from 1 species